AACUAACGCUGGCGGCGUGCCUAACACAUGCAAGUCGUACGAGAAAGCCGGCUUCGGCUGGUGAGUAAAGUGGCGCACGGGUGAGUAACGCGUGGAUAAUCUGCCCUUAAGUGUGGAAUAACGUACCGAAAGGUGCGCUAAUACCGCAUAAUGCCUGGCAACACAAGUUGUCCGGCCAAAGAAGGCCUCUGUUUACAAGCUUUCGCUUCAGGAUGAGUCCGCGUACCAUUAGCUUGUUGGUGGGGUAAUGGCCUACCAAGGCUGCGAUAGUUAGCUGGUCUGAGAGGAUGAUCAGCCACACUGGAACUGAGACACGGUCCAGACUCCUACGGGAGGCAGCAGUGAGGAAUAUUGCGCAAUGGGGGAACCCUGACGCAGCAACGCCGCGUGAGUGAGGAAGUUUUCGGACCGUAAAGCUCUGUCGAGUGGGAAGAAGUGUAUCAUGGCUAAUAUCCGUGAUAUUUGACGGUACCGCUAGAGG
rnacentral:rRNA from 1 species